rnacentral:rRNA from 1 species
UACGUAGGGACCGAGCGUUGUCCGGAAUCAUUGGGCGUAAAGAGCGUGUAGGCGGCUUGUUAAGUCUUGCGUGAAAUCUCGGGGCUCAACCCCGAGCGGUCGUGAGAAACUGGCAGGCUAGAGUGCGGGAGAGGAGAGUGGAAUUCCUGGUGUAGCGGUGAAAUGCGCAGAUAUCGGGAGGAACACCUGUGGCGAAAGCGGCGCACUGGACCAUAACUGACGCUGAUGCGCGAAAGCUAGGGGGAGCAAACAGG